ACAAUUUUCCCUUUUUAGAUCCAUGAUCCAUGGAGUGCUUAGAUCCAUGAGCACUCUGGUCAACUUUGUUGUUUUAAAGUGCUAUAUAAAUAAAGUUGAAUUGGAUUGGAGUGGAUGAGAUGAGCCUUCACUGAGCAGGCUGAUCAAAACAGAGGCCAGGACUCAGUGAUCCUCACUGCACUUGGAAACAGAAUCAAAUACAACUUGACCAAGAAAUGAAGUCACUAAGAAGAACACGUGUUUCACUUCAAUUUUAUUAUUUAUCGCGCAACAUAAAACAAUAUUGUGGGUUGGUUUUUUAUUCUUUUUUUCUUUUUUAACCACAUACACUAUGUAUUCACAUAAUACACCAUACAGCUACAAAGAGAGAGAGAGACUGAACAAAAACACUUUUUUUUCCUUUUUUUUUUUUUUUUUACAUACUGCAUCCUUGACAUGAAAAAUAAAGAACCAAGAACAAUCCUCAAACUUAACGGAAUGUAGCUGCCAGUUGUGUUGGUUCACUUUCUUUUUCUUUCUUUUCCUUUUAUUUAAUUUUAUGGGUCAGGGUCCAAGUCUCUAUCCCAAAUUUCAAGUGUUCGUUAAAUUAGGACUGUGGGCCAUACACAGUUAGAUGCAAAUCUAUGUGUGUUUAUCUAUGUGUGUCAAAAACUAUACAAAAUUUAGAAGAAAGAGAGGGAGUGAGUAAAGGAAGUGCAUCACUUGGGAGAGGAACAGGGAGGCAGUACGCAAUUUUUUUUUUUUUGUGUCGUUCAAAUAUCUUAGCAUUCAGUUAACAUGAACAUGUACAACAUACUCAAAAGAUCAUUUGAAUAGCCUCUGGUACUUGCACAGUACCAAAUGUAAAACCCAGCUAACAGUCUUCAUAUAAUAUGAUUCUAUAUCUCGUCCUAUUUUAAAUGAAUUCAAGUACAGUAUGGAAUGAAGAUUAAUAGAGAAUGUAAUCAACAGUUUGAGUGCACCACCUGCCCUCAAAAAGAGAUGUAAAUUUGUAGCGUUGUAACAAAAGACUUUUCAUAAAGUCAGCACCAGGGCAGCUUCCCUUCCUGUGAAACUGCUUUAAUCAAAAGUAUAGUUCUCUUGACAUUCGAAGAGCUCAGAAAAAUAUUUGUGGUAAUUAUUUAUCCCUCGCUUUUUUUUCCUUUUUUGUAUUUUUUUUAACACAGUGAAUUUUUAAGGUAUAGCAUCAUAGCACCGACUGAACCGACUCACCCCCCAGGAUCUCAGUACUUGUCCGCUUGGGAGGUGGUGCCUCUCAUGAGAACCAUCCACCAAAGUUAUGAAGCAUUUAGAAAUGUACAAAGUCACCAAGAUAUCAUAUGCACCAUAUCCUCAGCACCCUUUUGUUGUUUCGGUAAUUGUUUGUGUUGUGUGUGUGCGUGCGUGUGUGUGUGUGUGUGUGUGUGUGUGUGUGUGUGUGUGUGUGUGUGUGUGUGUGUGUGACUAAUAUAUGGGCAAGUCUUAAGCUCAAUAAGUAAAAUGGGUCUUGUUACUGCACUAUCAAACUACUGUUAGACAUGGCGUGGGUCACCUAAUUAUCAUGGCAAAUGAAAGAUCUGCAGUCUUCCGCGGGGGAGCUGUGAUUUUUCUGCCACGUGCAUACUUGGCUAUUACAAAAGCUGAAGCGAAUAAUAAUGAUGACACAUCUAAGCAAGCAGGGCGGUGGUAACACAACUGACAAAGACUGCUGGGCAGUAACUCAUUAAAGCGUCGCCCAAUGUUUCACCUCAGACUGGCUCCGUGGCAGUCAGUAUAGUUAUAGGGGGGGUGUUUGAUAGUAAAUAAUAGUUCAUCAUUGAAAAACUUCCCAUUCUCUUUCCUGUUGACACUCAGAAGAAAAACUCUGUACUGUUCUAACGUCUGUAUGAUAAAUAUGAAGCCGCAGCUAUCAGACAGCUGAGAUCAGCAUAAAGACCGGGCACACAGGAAGCAACAUAGGUAACAAAAUCUGUCCGCCAGCAGCUUUAAAGCUCACUCUGUUUUCUCUGUUUCCUUUUUGUUAUUUUUUUUUCUUUUCAGAGGACUUUGUACCAGACUGUUUCCAGGCUGGAAGCAGUGAUUCUUUUUUAUUUUUUAUGAAAUAUCUGCUGGUGGUCUUGUUAGCCUGGGAUGUAACCCCCUGUAAAACCAAUGUGACAAUGGUGUUGACAAACCUUACUUAACGUGUGUUAAAGAGGUUUAAAGUGCUGGCAGUUUGAUUUUAGUUAGGCUAGCUGUUUCCCCAUGUUUUCAGCCAAUAUGCUAAGCUAAGCUAAUCAGCUGCUUAAGUCAAGCUAGUAAACUAGCCAAGAGGUAACUCUUAUCACGCUCGUGGGAAUGUGGGAAUCACAUUAUUCAGAUUUUGGCAUUUGUUUGGGGUGUUUUUUAAAAUACGAUGCUGUCAUGAAUCUGUCACAGAGUUUGAGAAUGUCAACAAAAUUGAAAAUAACAACAACUGAAAGCUGUCAAGCUAAAACUCUAAAUUCAUACAUUAGCACAACUGCAACACGGGGGAUCUCUUAUUUUCGCUUUACUGUUGCCAGUGAGUCAGCUGAGUGUGGUUUCAUGUUACAGAAUUGGGCUGACUAAAUCGUUUUCAGAAAUUUCUGGGGCUCUGUCAGUCGCAUGCCGACAGGGGGUACAGUAUUAGGAAAGCAAAAACAGCAGAGUGACUAAG
ensembl:lncRNA